rnacentral:rRNA from 1 species
AGUGAACGCUGGCGGUAGGCCUAACACAUGCAAGUCGAACGGCAGCACAGUGAGAGCUUGCUCUUACGGGUGGCGAGUGGCGGACGGGUGAGGAAUACAUCGGAAUCUACUUUUUCGUGGGGGAUAACGUAGGGAAACUUACGCUAAUACCGCAUACGACCUACGGGUGAAAGCAGGGGAUCUUCGGACCUUGCGCGAUUGAAUGAGCCGAUGUCGGAUUAGCUAGUUGGCGGGGUAAAGGCCCACCAAGGCGACGAUCCGUAGCUGGUCUGAGAGGAUGAUCAGCCACACUGGAACUGAGACACGGUCCAGACUCCUACGGGAGGCAGCAGCGGGGAAUAUUGGACAAUGGGCGCAAGCCUGAUCCAGCCAUACCGCGUGGGUGAAGAAGGCCUUCGGGUUGUAAAGCCCUUUUGUUGGGAAAGAAAAGCAGCAGGUUAAUACCCCGCUGUUCUGACGGUACCCAAAGAAUAAGCACCGGCUAACUUCGUG